rnacentral:rRNA from 1 species
AUUGAACGCUGGCGGCAUGCCUUACACAUGCAAGUCGAACGACAACCCUGAGCCUUGUAACGGGUUGAGUGGCGAACGGGGGAGAAUUAUACCUGGGCGCGCCUUGUGAUGUGGGAUAACUAGCCGAAAGAUCAGCUUUUAUCCCGCACACCCUGUGGGGGUAAGUGGGGGAGCCUCGGACCCUUCGCUAUAUGAGCGGGCGAUAUCUGUUUAGCUAGUUGGUGGGGUAAUGGCCUAAACAGGCGAGGAUCAGAAGCUGGUCUGAGAGGACGACCAGCCACACUGGGACUGAGACACGGUCCAGACUCCUACGGGAGGCAGCAGUGGGGAAUUUUGGACAAUGGGCGAAAGCCUGAUCCAGCCAUGCCGCGUGAGUGAAGAAGGCCUUCGGGUUGUAAAGCUCUUUCGCAAGGAAAGAAAUCAUACCCUCUAAUACGGGGUGAGGAUGACGGUACCGGGAUAAGAAGCACCGGCUAACUACGUG